GAUGAACGCUGACAGAAUGCUUAACACAUGCAAGUCAACUGUGGCGGACGGGUGAGUAACGCGUAAAGAACUUGCCUCACAGAUAGGGACAACAUUAGGAAACGAAUACUAAUACCUGAUACUGUGAGAGAGCUUUGCGUCCCAUUAGCUAGUUGGAGAGGUAACGGCUCACCAAGGCGAUGAUGGGUAGCCGGCCUGAGAGGGUGAUCGGCCAGAAGGGGACGGAGACACGGCCCUUACUCCUACGGGAGGCAGCAGUGGGGAAUAUUGGACAAUGGACCAAAGUCUGAUCCAGCAAUUCUGUGUGUACGAUGAAGUUUUCGGAAUGUAAAGUGCUUUCAUUUGGGAAGCAGUACCAACAGAAGAAGUGACGGCUAACUACGUGCCAGCAGCCGCGGUAAUAC
rnacentral:rRNA from 1 species